rnacentral:rRNA from 1 species
GCGAACGCUGGCGGCAGGCCUAACACAUGCCAGUCGAACGAACCUUUCGGGGUUAGUGGCGGACUGGUGAGUAACACGUGGGAACGUGCCUUUAGGUUCGGAAUAACUCAGGGAAACUUGUGCUAAUACCGAAUGUGCCCUUCGGGGGAAAGAUUUAUCGCCUUUAGAGCGGCCCGCGUCUGAUUAGCUAGUUGGUUGAGGUAAUGGCUCACCAAGGCGACGAUCAGUAGCUGGUCUGAGAGGAUGAUCAGCCACAUUGGGACUGAGACACGGCCCAAACUCCUACGGGAGGCAGCAGUGGGGAAUCUUGCGCAAUGGGCGAAAGCCUGACGCAGCCAUGCCGCGUGAAUGAUGAAGGUCUUAGGAUUGUAAAAUUCUUUCACCGGGGACGAUAAUGACGGUACCCGGAGAAGAAGCCCCGGCUAACUUCGUG